rnacentral:lncRNA from 1 species
UGUCAAUUAGUUCCCCUUCAUCUAGUAGAGGUUCUAGGUUUGAAUGCUUGUGGAGGGCAACCUAGGUAUUUAGACUGUUGGCGUUGAUACCACACUUGUUGGUUUUUCUAUAAAACUCCAGGGAGAAAGGGAAGAGAAUAGUAGGAGAGACUAGGAGUACUUCUAAUAUGCAGUGCUUUUGAUUGAUCCAAGAGCAUCUAUUUAUAUUGACUAAAAAAUGGAAUAUAAGUUUUUUAAAACAAUGAAAAAAAUCUACCAUAUCCCAAUAAAUCUUCUCACCCUCAUCUAUUAAUUUAAAUCUAAAAUUUUCUUUUAUUUUAUCUAAUCUUAACUAUUUGAAUUAAUUUUAAUACACCCCCUUAAUUCAAAUAGUUGUAACUUGAAAUUAUCUUUGGAGAAAAAAAAAUUAUCAAAGCUUUUGUGAAGAUAUCGACAAACUGGUCUUUGGUGCUGCAGUAAUCCAUUUGAAUUUCUCCUUUAUCAAUUAGUUCGAUAGGUUUGCAAGUCUUCAUGAUCUUCAAAGGAUUGAAAGUCUUUUUUAAGUUUUAGUGGAUUUUCUAAAUAGUUUUGAGUCUGACUUGUAACAAGAGUUUUGGGCCCUUUUACUUCAGACUUUGUAGCAGUUUGUUUUUCACUCUUCAAAGUUGCAUCUAUCAUUUUUGCAUCUUUAACUUUCUUCGAAGUCUUCGGUGGUUGCUUACCUUCACUUUCCUUAGAAGAUUCGUCAGAACCACUGCUGUGUUUUGAUGUUUGAGACUUCUUAGCCUGUUACCCUUUUGAAUGUUCAUAAUUAGAACUUUCUUCAGAGCUGUCAUCUGCAUCAUAGUUGGUGCUCUCCUUUUUGGCAGACUUUGUAAGAGGUUUACCAGCGGUAGAUGAAACAGAUUCCGAAACUGUUCGCUUCUUCAGUUAUAACUCAUCGCUCUCAUCAGAACUCUCAUCGCUCUCAUCAAAACUUUUAUCAACUUUAGCCUUGUUUUGAGGCAUCUUCGUAUCAGUUUGAAUUUUAAAGAGUUUGUCAUAUGAGAUAGUUUAUAUAGAUCCACAAAAAUUCAGAUGAUCAUAGCUUUUAUGCCAUAAUGUCGAUUUAUCAAUAACAGUAGUAUGUAAGGAGAAAUAUGAAAAUAAUAAGGGAAACACUUUGUUUUUUAUCGUCCUCACAGUUGCUAUCAAUUUAUCAAAUUUUUUUUAUCAUAAAUCAAGUAUUUUUCAUCAUCAAAAAUAGCAUAAUAUCCUUUUCUCAUCAAUUGUUCAAUACUAAUGAGAUUUUGUUUUAAACCAAGAAAAAACAUCACACAUCAAUAAAUUUUUUACCAGAUUUGGUGUUCAUAGUAAUUGUUCCUUUUCCUUUCGAUUGAACCUUAUUGUUAUUUCUCGUUUGCACUGUCAAUCUGACUGAAUCAUCAAGUCUUUGGAAUAAACUUUUGUCUCAUAUUAUAUAAUUACUGCAUCUACUAUCCAAAAACUAAACAUAUCUAAAUAUUUUUCGUCAGAUGCUGUAAAAAAAAUAUUUCCUCAUAAUAAUUUGUCUGAUUUUUAUUUCAACAAUCCUUUUCAAGAUGGCUAUAUUUUUUACAAUAAGAGUAGAGAGGAACAUUUGGAUUUUUAUUGUUGUACCAGCAAUCUUUUUCAAUAUGUCCAAUUUUUUACAAUAAAAACAUCGGUAGGUUUCGUUGUUACCUUCAUUUUAUCGGCCUCAUCCUCUGCCAUUUUGAUCUCUCCCUUGAAAUUGGUUUCUGAAUUUUUCUUUUGGUUCUUCUUCUGAUCUAUCUUCAUUUGUAAAGCAUGUUCUAAAGUCUCAUCUGAAUAUUUAUUCGUUUUUUAUUCAUGAACUAAAAGGGAGUCCAUUAAUUCAUCAAUAGAUAAUGUACUUAUAUCUUUAGUUUUAUUAUAGCGAUAAAAAUUAUAUCAAAUUUUGGAGAUAAACUUCGCAAAACCUUUUCUGCUACAGUUUGAUCUUUUAGGUUUUCACCAUAAGAUCUCAUAUGAUUCAUAGUAGAAGAGACUUUUGAGAAGAAAUUAGUAAUAGAUUCAGGAUCUUUCAUCAUAAGAGUUUUAAAUUUACGUUGAAGAAUUUGAAGUAUUGAAAAUUUUACCUUGUCUAUGCCUCUAAAUAUGCUUUUUAAUAUUUUUCAAGCUUCUGUUGAUGUUGAUGCCAUCAUGAUUCGAGAAAAUAGAGACUCAUCUAUUGCUUGUUAUAACAUGUAGAGGGCUUUUGCAUCUUUCUGCAUAUUCUCAUUUAUUCGAUCUUUUGGAUAUUUAAUAAUAUUAGGAUCCUGUAGAUCAUACUCAACAAAAUCAUUCUUUACCAAAUUCCAUAAUCCUUGUGAAUAAACAGAGCUUUCAUCUUAAUAGCCUAAAAUUGAUAAUUAUCAUCUUUAAAGAUAUGAAGAAGUUAGAUUAGGAACACUUACUCCAUUGCUUAUCAUCUUCUUUUUUUUCUUUUUCUGGAUCUACUAGUCUUCCCUUCUUUUUAAUCGUUGCACUCUUGUUGAUCUUCUUCGAACCAGGCUCUGAUACCACACUAUAAGCUUUGAUACUGUACUUGUUGGCUUUUCUACAUAACUUCAGGGAGAAAGAGAAGAGAAUAGUAGAAAGACUAAGAGCACCUAUUUAUAUUGACUAAAAG